GCUAGGCUAGCUUUGCACAGGAAUGUCAAGGUUGCAUUUUCAAAACUAUGGAACGGUUGGAAUAGGAGAACCCAAUGGAGAUUCGAGUACUUAGUGGCGUUCAUUUUCUAGAAGUCUUAGCUUAUUUGCUUCCGCUGUGCAAUGAAGAUACCGGUCCAGUCACACCAAUGCUCUGAUAUUUCGGGGUGUGACAGCAAAUUCCACCAAGUCAAAGCUUCAUCGACAAACAAUCCAGUAACAAAAGUGACUUGCUGGUCCGUGGUGCACUUGCUCAUGUGGAUCAUGGAAUCAGUCUUCUCCGUCCAGCGCACGAAAGCCACUGCACCUCCAGUGCCGUCGUAAUUCAUUGGCUUGCAGUCGAGAAACUGCUUGAAGGUGCAGCCUGGAAUUCAUCCAACCAAUUCACACGUGAGCAAUCAAUGAAACAAUGAAACAAAGAUCGUUCAUAAAUUUCAUCAAGUUAUAACAAACUAGCUUAUGGU
rnacentral:lncRNA from 1 species